UGGUUUAGUUCAAACUGUGGGGUGGGAUUUUCACCUGUGGAGAAAAGAAAGCAUUGCUCCCUGAAAGCUGGGGGAUACUUAUACAAGGAGGAAGACGAUCCAGUGACAGACAUGGAGGUGUAGUAGAAAUGAUGCAGGAGAGAGCAGGUAAAAUAAAGAAAAUGCUCAAGAAGAUAUGAUUGUUCUUAUGGAGAGGUCAAAACAAAUGAGUGGCUACUGGAUUAAACAGUCAGGACAUCUGUGGAACUUUCUGGAAAGUACUUUCACUAAACCAUACAGGUUGAAAAUGGGUACUUGUUAAAGAAAGUGAACUGUUAGCUUUUCUGGAGUUUUCCAAGGACAAAAAGAGAGGGCGGCAGGUAGAUGAGGUGAGCAAGGCGAGGCAGGGCUGCUCUGCAGGUAUGUGGGAGAAGCGGUCUGUUUAUGGGCUGCACAACCAGGGGGCCAUUUCUCUUCAAAGUGCACAUGUUUUAAUCCUCUCGUGACUUUGCCCAAGAUUAUUCCACCCUGAUUUCUAGUUGGGGAACAUGACUGCAUUGCAUAGUGAAAUGUGUUCUGUUCCAUUUAUAAAGAAGGCUUGGCAAAUAGAUGAUUAGUUGCUUGGUGAGGAAUGGAAGUUGCUCUGUCUUAUCAUGUUGUUGUCUGGAGGAGGAGUGACUGAUAAUAAUUGGGGGGAAAUUCUGUUUUUAUUAUGGCCUGAGGCUGUGAUCACAUUAAAGCUAAAUACUCUUAUGUGUCGUUUUAAAACUUCACUUGUUGUGAGAUCUGAAGCCGUUUGUAGGGGACCUCUAGAUGGAAGAGAAUGCACAUUACAAAAUUUAAUGGGUUUUAAAAUAAUUUUACACAAAACAGAGACCAAUGUUCAUUGCAUCACCGAGCUUUGCAUUUGAAUAUUACAAUAACAUUAUGCUGAAACACUUCCAAUUAAAUACUGAUUGUGAAACGCUGUUACAAUUGCUUGAUGCUAUGUGUAUUCAGUUAAAAAAGCCAAAUGUAGAACUGUAUGUGCACAAUGAAAUAAAAUCUCAAUAUAUCAGACAAAGGAAAACAGUAGCUAGGUUAUGAUGACAGACUUUUUUCUUUUCUUUUUUCCCCAAAUGUGUCUUUGGGUUAUAAAACACAGUUAAAUUUCCUUUAGAAGGAGAUAACAUGAACUGUCACUGCUUUUAUUUUAAAAUUUCCACUGUUCAUAGUUUUGGGGAUUUUUGAAGGCUGGAGUUCUUACUCUGGGUUCAUGAUGCCCUGAAAUCAUAAAGGCAUGGCUGUGUGCACACCGGAUGGUUCUGCUUUCAUCAGCUCUCAAAGGGGCCCAUGACCUCACAGUGGAUGAGAACUCACAGAUGACAAGCAGUUAGAGCAGCCUCCAUAUUCCAGUCCUGACACCCGUCUGCAAUGAGCUCAUGCGCCCCGUCCCUCCUCUGGGUUCGUCCUCCCUUGUGAAAUUGUAAGUCCAAAUGGGCGACCUGCCUCCCAUUCCCCACCACUGUGGUGGCCCCACCCAAAUGGCUAUGGUGCAACACACAUCUGACUUCCAAUGAUCUUUCUGUUUGUAGACAUCCUUACAGUGUGAAAACAGACCCACUGAUACAGCGCAUUUAGUUCUUUAUCAAGGGCUCAUUGUUGGAAUGAAGUGCCACUGACAGAGUCUUGAACUUACAGCUCCACUUGCUUUCCUCUGCCUCCUUCACAAACAUUCACAGAGACCCCACUCCUAGAAGUCUGUGAGCAGCAUGAUUGAGCACUGCUGGGAAUUUGGAUUUGAACCCCAAUUUGCCCUUAUGUGCUGUGUGGUCACAGACUUGGUCUUCUUGUAUGUAACACAUGGAUGCCACUAUCCACUUUAUGUGACUUGUCAUGGGGAUUAAAUGAGAAGCAGAUGCCAGCAAGCAUACAGAUGCUUGGCACAUUUUAGCUUCCUUCCCUGUAUGUGAUUUCCUUGCAUUUUCACAUACUCGCUAAUCAGUAGGUUUGAGCACCUAUUAUGUAUGAGACACUGUACUAGGUGCCAAGGAUAUGAAGGGAUCAAAAAUGGUCUUUGUGGUGUCAUAGGUUAUUUGAGACACCACCUUUAAAAAUAGCAUGUGCUAAGUGCUAAAGGGAUUGUAAGUGUGUCAGUUUUUUUAUUUACAGAUGUAUUCAGUCUUUCAAAAACUUGUUGAGCACUCAUGAUGAUGUGCUAAGUCCUAUUUGGGGCCACUGAUGAUUUUACUGAGAACAAGAGAGACAAAGUAUCUGUUGUCAUCAGGCUCUUGAUGUGGCACAGGGAGGCUGGCCAGAGACCAGGUGGUGGUUAUACAUCUUGGGUGCUUUUGGUUGUUGGUAAACACUACAGAGAAAACACAAGUGAGAGAUCUGACAGAGUGCAGCCGAGUGGGAAGCUAAUCCAGGGACCUAUUGAGCCUCACUGUGGUGAAGAAUCAAAGGAUGGAUAACACACAGGGUUUCUCCAUGUGGUCUGUCUGUGUGGGCUAGUCUGAGCUUCCAAACAACAUGGUGGCCCCAGUGUGGAAAGGACAACAGAAGUAAGAUUCCCAGGGAACAAACUGAAAGCUGCUUGGCCUUUUACAACCUUGUUUCAGAAGUCAUCUCUGCAUUUUACUAUGUACAAAGUAGCAGCCCAGCCCUCAUAUUCCAACCUUUGAGCUUCUUACAGUAUCAAUGGUGAACAUGUUAAAAAUGCAAAAAAUGUGACUCUUUUCAAGAUUCACUCCAGGCCUGCUGUAGUGGGCUGAAGAACGACAGCUUCCUAAAAGCUACGUGAGAUCCUAAUCCCUACAAUCUGUGAAUGCACCUUAUUUUAAAAAUGGGUCUUUGCAGGUUUAAAGUAUCUCAAAAAGAGAUCAUCCUGGAUUAUCAAGGUAGACCCUAAAUUCAGGGCAAGUGUCCUUAUCAGAGAAAAGCAGAAGGAGAUUUGAGACAGAGAGAGAAGUCUAUGUGGAGAUGGAGGUAGAGUCUUCAGUGAUGCAGCCACAAGCCACGGCAGCCCUGGAGACACCAAAGGCUGAAGAGGCAGGAAGGAUGCUUCCUUGGAAUCUCUGGAGGGAGUGCAGCCCUGCCCACACCUUGAUUUUGGACUUCUGGCUUCCAGAACUGUUAGGGAAUAAAUUUCUGUUGUUUUAAACCACCAACUUUAUGGUGAUUUGUUAUGGCAGUCCUAAAAAAUGAAUACCUAGGGAAUAAGAGGCCCAGGUAGUGGGUCCCGCAGUCAGUAUUUCAGCAAGCCUCCUUGUGACCGUGACGCUCGCUCAGGUUGAAAACCACCCAUCAAGGUUGAGAACCACUGAUUCAUUGAUAAAUGCCUCUACAUGUGACUGGCUAAAGACGACACCUUUUUCCCCUGCAUGACAGCAAGGCCUUUCUUAAUCUGGGCAGAGACCAAGUGUGGACAAUGAGCACCUGGGGGAAAGCUGGAGUCUCAGAAGGGAGGUGAACUGCUCUGGGUUAGUUCUCCAAGGCUUUCUUUCUUGGGGCUUGUCUCAUUUACAACAAAGAUUUCUUUUGCUCUAAAGAUGGACAGGGUAAAGUGCCAGGCACUGCAGUUAUAGGCAGGUGUAACACUUUACUCUUACUAUUAAGAGUUCUGCCAUCUCACUGGAGAAACAGGAUAAGAAGAUAUAAACAAUUCCAUCUCCAGCUUCACAUGGCAUAAUGUCUUCGAAACACCUCUCAUAACUUAUCAAAUAAGCAACUCUUCAGGCUACAAGUGUAUCUCUAACUGAAUUCCUCCUAAGCACUGGGGUGGUAUUAAAUCAACACUGGCAUGCUCUCAUUUCUAAAAUACAAGAUACUGUUUCCCAAUGAAUAAUGCAUCCUGCUUCUCUCCCAGGCUCUCAUUCCUUACAGAUUAGUUUGCAUAUCAAGAACAACUAGACUUUCUAAAAGUCACAUCAGAGCAGAAGAAUGUUUGCUUGUGGAUACACUUUCUAGUGUUUUUUCCUCAAAUUUGAGCAUUUGGGGGGACCCUGAGAGAAAUCGAGAUACAUCACAGCCUGUGCAAGAACACAUGUUGGCUGAUGAGAAGUGACCCUGCCACUGACUGAAGGGCUGAGCUUCUUGACUGGUUAAAAUUCAGGAGGAAGGUGCUUCCACCAGCUGUAUCUCUUUAAUCAAAGUGACAUUUGUACCACUGGAUCCCCAGAGUUCUUUGGGGACACACAACCUACUGGGAGAGGCAUGCCCUGGGAAGAAGGAGGGGGUGCCCAUGGCCAUGAAGGGAUGUGCUAGGGGAUAUGACCAGGAGAUUAUGAACAGAUGGCACCCCAAGGCUGGCACCCCAGCAUAGCAUCAAGGCUCAGGCUUCAUACACCAGGCCUCUCAGAUUCUGAGGCCUGCAUCUCCACCCAGUGGCUGUGUGACACUCACAGAGCUUCAGUUUCCUCAGCUGUUAAUGGGGCAAUAAAUAGAGGUAACCUCUAAAGGUCAUGGUAAGGAUUAGUCAAAACACAGAACAUCCUAAUAGCAAAGUCUGGCAGUCCAUCUAUGUUAUUUCUUUUUUUCCUCUCUUCCACCUCCACCAUCCUCUACUUAUCAUCAUCACCAUUGCCGCCUCUUCAUCACCAUCAUCACUCAUGGUGUGACCUCACACCCUCAGUCCAGGGUGUAAGUCUGAUUUUCCCUCCUAAAUGACCUAACCUUAGAGAAGUCAUUCAUCUCAAGAGCCUCCCUGUGCAUUACUAGCACGCCGCUCACUUUACCAGCAGGUGAGGAUUAGAGAGAGCUCACCUGAAGCCCCUAAGAAAGGGCUUGACUCUUCACGAAGUGAAGUCGCUCAGUCGUGUCUGACUCUCUGUGACCCCAU